UUUUUUUUUGAAUACUGAUUAAUCAUCAGAUUACUGCAUUACACAGAUAUUUACAACAACUGCUAUUGUAGCAGAGAUAUUAUACUGAUAUUUACAAUCAGAUAUACAUAAUUGGGACUUAUAUUAUGACAUUGAAUUCUAUGAAGUACAUGCCCAAACAAAUAACCCCUCACAGGAGAGGGAUGUCCAUACUCCACUCGCAUUUCGCAAGGGAGAAUGAUUUUUUUUGGAAGUAUAAAGAACAUUUAGCCCCCACAAUGCUUUUGUGGGGGCUAGAACCGUUGCCCUCACAAUGCUUGUGAGGGCAGCAGCCCACCACUUCAACCAAG
rnacentral:lncRNA from 1 species